rnacentral:rRNA from 1 species
UGGGGAAUAUUGGGCAAUGGGCGAAAGCCUGACCCAGCAACGCCGCGUGAAGGAAGAAGGCUUUCGGGUUGUAAACUUCUUUUCUCAGGGACGAAGCAAGUGACGGUACCUAGGAAUAAGCCACGGCUAACUACGUGCCAGCAGCCGCGGUAAUACGUAGGUGGCAAGCGUUAUCCGGAUUUACUGGGUGUAAAGGGCGUGUAGGCGGGACUGCAAGUCAGAUGUGAAAAACCAUGGGCUCAACCUGUGGCCUGCAUUGAAACUGUAGUUCUUGAGUACUGGAGAGGCAGAUGGAAUUCCUAGUGUAGCGGUGAAAUGCGUAGAUAUUAGGAGGAACACCAGUGGCGAAGGCGGUCUGCUGGACAGCAACUGACGCUGAGGCGCGAAAGCGUGGGGAGCAAACAGGAUUAGAUACCC